rnacentral:misc_RNA from 1 species
AAAGUCGUAACAAGGUAACCGUAGGUGAACCUGCGGUUGGAUCAUUAAUAAUUUUCAAUGAACCUUCAUGGUUCUUGGACUUACCUUGUGUGAUAUGUAUUUCUGUUUCUCGUGGUUCGAGUGCCCAGUUCUUGUGAUGAGAACUGCGUCUGGGUCUGGUGUUGAUGAGGUUAGUUCCUUGUCCAUUGGAUUCCUGGUCCACGGAAGGGUUCGUCGAGGCCUUUUCUUCUCACAGAGAUCAUGCUUCCGAACCUGCAACAACCUUAUGUUUUUAUAUGUUUUGUCUUAUCAAUUCUCACAUUCUGAAUGUGUAAAUUUAAAACAACUUUUGACAACGGAUCUCUUGGCUCUC